rnacentral:lncRNA from 1 species
UCUUAUUCAUUUCCCGUCAUGUUGCCAUGGUAUCUUUCAACCAUGGUCUUACACAUUUCAUAUCAUGUUGCCAUGGUAUCUUUCAACCAUGGUCUUACACGUUUCAUAUCAUGUUGUCAUGGUAUCUUUCAACCAUGGUCUUACACAUUUCAUAUCACGUUGCCAUGGUAUCUUUCAACCAUGGACUUACACAUUUAAUUUCAAAGAGCACACUCCCGCGAACCUCAUCCUUACAGCGGGAUUACCAGUCCAG